GAUGAACGCUAGCGGCAGGCCUAAUACAUGCAAGUCGAACGGGAUCCAGAUCAAAGCUUGCUUUGGUUUGGUGAGAGUGGCGCACGGGUGCGUAACGCGUGAGCAACCUACCCUUGUCAGGGGGAUAGCCCGGCGAAAGUCGGAUUAAUACCGCAUGACAUCAUUGAGAGGCAUCUUUCGAUGAUCAAAGAUUUAUCGGACAAGGAUGGGCUCGCGUGACAUUAGCUAGUUGGUAAGGUAACGGCUUACCAAGGCUACGAUGUCUAGGGGCUCUGAGAGGAGAAUCCCCCACACUGGUACUGAGACACGGACCAGAAUCCUACGGGAGGCAGCAGUAAGGAAUAUUGGUCAAUGGACGGAAGUCUGAACCAGCCAUGCCGCGUGCAGGAAGACGGCCCUAUGGGUUGUAAACUGCUUUUAUACGGGAACAAACGUCGGUACGUGUACCGGUCUGAGUGUACCGUAAGAAUAAGGAUCGGCUAACUCCGUG
rnacentral:rRNA from 1 species